rnacentral:rRNA from 1 species
UACGAAGGGGGCUAGCGUUGCUCGGAAUUACUGGGCGGAAAGGGCGCGUAGGCGGCACUGUUAGUCAGGCGUGAAAGUCCUGGGCUCAACCUGGGAACUGCGCUUGAUACGGCAGAGCUAGAGGAUGGAAGAGGGUCGCGGAAUUCCCAGUGUAGAGGUGAAAUUCGUAGAUAUUGGGAAGAACACCGGUGGCGAAGGCGGCGACCUGGUCCAUUACUGACGCUGAGGCGCGACAGCGUGGGGAGCAAACAGG